rnacentral:rRNA from 1 species
AUGCUAGCUUUCAACCAGUUCUACAACUUGGCUGGCCAAAACUUCAACCUCCUCAAUGCUGCAAUAGUCGCCUUGAUCCGCAAAAAAGAUGGAGCUGACUGCAUCAACGAUUACAGGCCAAUCAGCCUCAUCCACUCCAUAGCUAAGUUAAUCUCAAAGGUGCUGUCAAUUCGCCUAACUGCAGUGGUUCAGACCAUCAUCUCGCCUGCGCAAACGUCGUUUUUGAAGACAAGGUGUCUGCAUGACAGCUUCGUUUAUGUGCAAAACUGCGUCAGAGCUCUUCAUCGUAGAAAAACGCCGACAGUGCUGCUAAAACUAGACAUCUCUAGGGCCUUCGACAACAUCUCCUGGGAGUACCUACUUGAGCUCCUGGCGAGGCUAGGUUUUAGCGCUCGUUGGCGAGAUUGGAUAACACUGCUUCUAUCCACAUCCUCAUCAGCGUUCCCCCUCAACAGAUCGCCAGACAGAAAAAUUAGGCACAGGAGGGGGCUGCGACAGGGCGACCCGCUAUCCCCUCUACUGUUCAUCAUUGCCAUCGACCCCAUCCACCGUCUCCUCCAGGCGGCAGAAGAAUCGCUCGACAUCACAACGAUUCCGGUCCGGGAAGUGAAGCUUAGGGUCAGCCUGUAUGCGGAUGAUGCGAUCAUCUUCGCAAACCCUAUCAAGGAGGAGAUCGACUACCUCAUGAGCAUCCUAAAAGGCUUCAGGGAUGCCACUGGACUACGGAUCAACACGGCCAAAUCAACGGCCACGCCGAUCAGCUGUGAUGAGAUCGACCUCACCAUGGUUCUUCAAUCCUUCGGCGGGAAAACAAAGCAGUUCCCGAUCAGGUACUUGGGGCUCCCCCUCAUCCUCGGGUAG